GAUGGAUGUAUGGGGGGCGGGUCACCAAAGAUAAAUUCCUGAGACUUUUCCUUUUAUCUCGUUCUUUUCAUGGGAGACGCUGUCCGUGAAUGUUUGGUUCCGUCUUACAGGAAACCCUCUCCCAUGACAUUUUUCGGCUCCAAAAUGUUUGGCUGCUGUACUUUUUCCCCAAAUGUCGUCCCUUACUGCAUGUUGCACGUUUCGUGACAUGUAGAAGUACUUCAAAACAGCAAAAAAAUUGAAGUCCAAGCUUCUUCAUAGCAUUACACGUACUUGAUAGCUGCUGUGGAAUUAAGCUUAGUCUUUAAGAGGGUCUCUACUCUAAUAUAUUGUGAGACAAGAUUGUGAUAAUAGGAAAUCUGAAAUGGAAAUAAUGUACUCGUAGUAUACAUCAAGGAUUAGCAUUUUCCCUUAUAUUUGUCCAUGUUAUCAUGGACGGUUUGAUGAUUGAGCUGUUUUGUUGUGGAUGUUCGGGGUGCAGUGGUCCUUCAUUAGAGAUGCGUUGAAAUGGAGCUUGCGCAGACUUGUUAAUGAGUUUGUCCACCAGGGGGCAACUUCCUGGUGUUAGCAAAUUGGCAACAUGGGCAAGCUUUUUCCACUGACGUCAUUUCUAUUCCGGGCGCUGUCAGUUACGUGUUCGUGAUCAGUGCCGUCAAUUGUAACAUUCUUCUUCACAAAUAUCUUCAAGGUAUAUUAUACUAUAUUCAUAUUUUGAUACACCCCUUUUCUUGUCCUUUGGAGUAUUUUCCCUGAAGCUGGCUUUGUUGGAUGUUUCUUUUGAAGUAGGAAUUAUUGCUUGAUGAAGUCGAGCUUUUUCAAGCAGUCCAAUGUCCACUUAAAUUUUUUGCCGGUAAACCGUGUGGUGAACUGUUGUAUGAAGACCAUGUGCUGUUGUGAUGAGCUUCUAUGUGCAGUCUGUGGUGCUGUAUGCUGCCUGUAAAGUCUGGUGCAAGCUUGAAAUUUGAAGAACUCACUGCCUUAACAAUUGAGUGUUUGAAUCAUUGUAUAUUUGUUUCCAUAGUCAGUGAGUUUAUAUUGGUGGCUCUAUUUGGUUUGCAGUUCAUGUUUGGGUGGUUUUGUUGCAGCCAGCUGUUGGGAAGUAAGUUCAAUUUAAAGCUGAAGGUUCUGGAAGCUAUCUCCAUUGCUGGUGACAUCCUGACAUGACUUUGUGAUAAUGUGAUGCAUCUGCCUUGGUGACGAUGAUGUAUCAUCCUGUUGCAUGCAGUUACGUCGAAGCUAGGCUUAAAGUAUAGCUGAAAAAAAUAUUCAUAGAAAUGGAUGGUGAAAAUGUUAAGCGGUUUUGUAAUCUGGUUUCUUUUAAAGUUUGAAGUCUGGAUUGCGCUUAAGUCUUUGCAGUAACUGUUGUUGGAGUCCUUGCAGUAACUGUUGUUGGAGUCCUUGCUGAAGUCCUUGCAGUAAUUGAUGUUGGAGUCCUUGCAGUAACUGAUGUUGGAGCUAUCCUGACGCUGCUGUGCCAUUGAAAUUCAUUUUGAUAAAAAUAUUUAUAUUUGUUUGUGUUACAAAGUGUGUGUUGAUUGAAGCAACCUGAGUGUUUUUAUUCUCCGAUAUGAUAUGUUGCAACAAAAGUUAUAACUGGUUAUCCUAGAUGAUGAAAUUACCUCAACCCUAAUUAGAUCAUUUAAUAAUUGUAUAUCUUAACUCAAAUUUGCAAUUUUUGGGCAUGUUUGUAAAUUUAGUAUGAGAUCUAAUUUCAUUGUCUUAAUAGUUACAAUAAAUAAAAAAUAAUCAGAUAA